AAAGUAGUGAGCGUGCAUGAAUGUGCUGUGGGAGGGAGAUGGCAAGGGGCUGAGCUACUUUAACGCACUGGUCGUCUGCCAUUUCCGAUGCGCGCCCCUGCGAAAGGCCUAAAAUAAAACAUUUCACUGACCUUAAGAAGAGCUCUUGCAAUGGCUAUCCUCUGCUUCUGACCACCUGGGACACAAACACAAAAUCCUUAUUCACCCAAAAGCAGCUCCCACAGUCUCGUUCCUGCACCGAAGCCCUUCAUCAACUCAGAGUAGAACGUACUCAGACCUGCCACACGGAAACACGGAAUCUGUCUUCCAUUUGCAACUCACCUGAAACCUGCAUGAGGUAGACUCGAGCUGCGUUGGCUGCUCCACCGCACAAGAACACACCAGUCAACAUGAGGCACAGCGAUGUGAGGGAGGACGUCAUUGCCUCCGUGUCUGUUCCAGCUGUAUAGAUUGUGUCAAUCACUCUGCCCAGGAGGAACGGCGCCGACAUGGUGACGGCGCUGGAGAUGGUCAAGAAGCCGACAGCAGCUAUGAGUGAAACGUGAUAUAUUGUCAAAUGAUUUUACAUUAUACAUCGCUUUUCAUGUUCAAUAACAACUGGUAUUUAAAGUCU